rnacentral:SRP_RNA from 1 species
AGACAAGGCAAGUGUGCACUUCGAACCGUGUCAGGGUCGGAAGGCAGCAGCACUAAGAAGAUCGUAUGCUGUGCCUGAUUAUA